UUUCCAAGAUGGGACGGCAACUUCGUCCGGAAGUCCUUCCCUCCUUGGACGCGGGACUUUAAAAUGUCGGAGUAACGAGGUCCCUGCUGGAUACAUGGUGGUGGCUAACUAUUGACAUGACCAGAGGCAGUAACAAGAAUUUUCUGCUUAUACGAGGUAUUUCUGAAAAGAAUUAUUCCUAGCAACAUUCUAUUUUUUUAAAAAAAGACCCAGUAGCAGAGGACAUAAAGUUGCAAGAUUGGCAUACAAAGAACAAGUUAUGUAAACACUCAGUAUCACAGAGUUAACAAGUUAUGUUAACUCUGUGAUACUGAUCCAAAUGACUAGCAUGAGAGAUCAGCAGUCUGUGUCGCCAUGAUAUUGUACAGAAGAGGCCUUCCGUGGUGGUCUUUGCAUCUAGAUGACUGUCUUUGGGGAAGGGAAGAAAAAUUUGGCUUGAAACAAAAUGCCCGUGAGACACAAAGGGAAAGUUAAGCAAAAAACAAAGUUUUAGCUGAGGGAUCUGAAAGGCUCCAUGCUGGAGACGAAUCCACAUUCAGAGAGCUUUUAUGACUAGGUUAUUUGAUGGGCUUACUACAAAAUCAACUAUGGAGGAUGGAUUAAAGUGACCUAUCUACCGGUAUAGUCUGCCAACUGUAUUUCAGUGCUGCUUGUGGAAAAAUAGUUGUUCCGCCUCAAAGGAGAGAAAGACAGUUUAGGUUGAUGAAAGACAGAUGGAAUGGAUUCACACAAGUUGAUCUAUUCUGAGCAAUCUUAAUUUGUAAGCAGUGUUUUAUGCAUUGGAUGUAUCUCUAGCAGAUUUUGAUGUAGCCUAUUUUGUAAACACAACCAUUGAGUGAUCUGUGACCCUCAUGUUAAGCUCAUUCAUGUUAAAACCACUAAGGAACCAACCCCUCCCCCCCAAAAAAAACAAAACCCCACAAAAAAUCCAGAAUCAAUCCCCUGCAUUUUAUUUAGAAGCUUUGAGUAACAUGGGAGAGAAAAUACCAGUUUUCUAUCUCCUCAAGACUCCUUGUUAUGUAACACGUUAAAAGGACUCCAAAUUUAACAUUUCAAACAUCUUGCUGAGUCCCCAAAAUGGAUGUUGGAUUUUCUAUUUAUAACCUUGUUUACAAACCAAAGCCAACUUUCAUUUUAUAAAAUAGAAUAUCAUCUUGCACUUGUCCCACAAGAGUUAGAACUCAAAUCCCAGGGUGAUCUAGGCUUGUUCUUCCCAUAGCGUCUCUUAAAGUAAAAAAAUGAUUGAAGCAACAUAAAAGCAUUUGCAAUAACACAUUAAUAUUUAUCGUGAUGUCCAAAUGCCAUCUCUCUCAAGCAGUUUCUUGUGCGUCUAUUUGAGGAAUGUAUCGUUUGUUUGACUUACAUGGCUUGCAGCUGUGACUUUGGAUGGCUAACAUAAAAACAAGGCAAAAACAACGAUCAAGAAAAUAUGAAGAACCCAUAGCUAAAAAACCCAAUAAAAACUGAAGAAUACAAUGUCAUUUCAUUUCAUAGGCUAUCGUUUCCAAUCCCAAUAUUCUGGAGAACAUCCAGUGCU